rnacentral:rRNA from 1 species
AUGGAUGACGCGGGAGGGGACAUUCUCCCGUCUCUCGGCAGCGUGCGCCUCGGCGAUCUCGCGGCGGUCGAGGGCCUCGCUUCCGACAGCUAAAAGAUAUGCGUAUCGACACUGAUGCAGUCGCUGGCUCAGUACUCGGCAGCCAUCAUCCAGCUGCCUCCAGCCGAUGCUGCCCUCUUAAGGUCUGGUCUGGUCUCCGCUCGCCUCUUCUUCCACCAGCGAGUGUAUGAUUCGGUGGGCGAUGUUGUCCAUUCGGAUGACGCCCGCGAGUGGAAGACAUCUGGUUACUAUGCAGAUCCUCAAAUGUGGCUGGAAAUGUAUGAUUAUAGGCCUGGUGUUACUAUCAGAGAGCAUGGUGGCGCAAUGGAAUUGUCCCCGUCUGGGCUGCCCGACAUAUUUUCAAUGCUUGGGAAAGUUUGCCGAGAUAUAUUGGAUGCGGUUAGCUUCUCACUGAAUCUCCGUAGUUGUGUGUUUACUGAGAUAUUCGACAACAUGCCAUUGAGAGGCCAGGAAGUGUCGUCCUCUGUUCUUUCAGCAUGUGGCCAUUCGAGGCCAUCAUUUGAAGAAGCACAGUAGCAUGGUAUUGCUUCUCAUGAUGACAGUCAAUUGCUCAUGUUUUCUGAGCAGGAGCAACAGAUCGACAAGACUUUGCUUACACUAGUUAAGUCAGAUAGGUCAGGCUUAUAUAUCAAGGACUUUCAUGGACGCUGGAUUCUUGUUGAUGGGGACCUUGGUCCACAUGAUAUUGUUGUAUAUCCUGGCCUUGCGCUUUAUCAGGAAACUUCUGGCUAUGUAAAUCGAGCUGUGCACAAGACAGAGGUUGGAAACUUGCAGGGAUGUAUGUUUGGGCGUUUAAGCUCACACCGAGAUUUGUUGCUAGGCCUGGUGGUUCAGAGAUGGGAGCUGCUAGUCAUGGUGUUGAUACUCAGUUUCAGGUCCCCGUAA